GCUCUUUGGUGAUUCAUGAUAACUUAACGGAUCGCAUGGCCUUGCGCCGGCGACGGUUCAUUCAAAUUUCUGCCCUAUCAACUUUCGAUGGUAAGGUAUUGGCUUACCAUGGUUUCAACGGGUAACGGGGAAUUAGGGUUCGAUUCCGGAGAGGGAGCCUGAGAAACGGCUACCACAUCCAAGGAAGGCAGCAGGCGCGCAAAUUACCCAAUCCCGACACGGGGAGGUAGUGACAAUAAAUACUGAUACAGGGCUCUUUUGGGUCUUGUAAUCGGAAUGAGUACAAUUUAAACCCCUUAACGAGGAACAAUUGGAGGGCAAGUCUGGUGCCAGCAGCCGCGGUAAUUCCAGCUCCAAUAGCGUAUAUUAAAGUUGUUGCAGUUAAAAAGCUCGUAGUUGAACCUUGGGCCUGGCUGGCCGGUCCGCCUCACCGCGUGUACUGGUCCGGCCGGGCCUUUCCUUCUGGAGGGCCCCAUGCCCUUCACUGGGCGUGCGGGGGAACCAGGACUUUUACUUUGAAAAAAUUAGAGUGUUCAAAGCAGGCCUUUGCUCGAAUACGUUAGCAUGGAAUAAUAGAGUAGGACGUGCGGUCCUAUUUUGUUGGUUUCUAGGACCGCCGUAAUGAUUAAUAGGGAUAGUCGGGGGCAUCAGUAUUCAAUUGUCAGAGGUGAAAUUCUUGGAUUUAUUGAAGACUAACUACUGCGAAAGCAUUUGCCAAGGAUGUUUUCAUUAAUCAGUGAACGAAAGUUAGGGGAUCGAAGACGAUCAGAUACCGUCGUAGUCUUAACCGUAAACUAUGCCGACUAGGGAUCGGGCGAUGUUUCUAUCUUGACUCGCUCGGCACCUUACGAGAAAUCAAAGUUUUUGGGUUCUGGGGGGAGUAUGGUCGCAAGGCUGAAACUUAAAGA
rnacentral:rRNA from 1 species